AUUGAACGCUGGCGGCAUGCCUUACACAUGCAAGUCGAACGGCAGCACGGGGGCAACCCUGGUGGCGAGUGGCGAACGGGUGAGUAAUACAUCGGAACGUGCCCAGUAGUGGGGGAUAGCCCGGCGAAAGCCGGAUUAAUACCGCAUACGACCUACGGGUGAAAGCGGGGGAUCGCAAGACCUCGUGCUACCGGAGCGGCCGAUGUCAGAUUAGGUUGUUGGUGGGGUAAAANCCUACCAAGCCGACGAUCUGUAGCUGGUCUGAGAGGACGACCAGCCACACUGGGACUGAGACACGGCCCAGACUCCUACGGGAGGCAGCAGUGGGGAAUUUUGGACAAUGGGCGCAAGCCUGAUCCAGCCAUGCCGCGUGCGGGAAGAAGG
rnacentral:rRNA from 1 species